GCAGGCGGUUUCGCGUAGCGAAAGCGAAUGCUUUGGGGUGGGGUGACUGCGUACCUUUUGUAUAAUGGGUCAGCGACUUAUAUUCUGUAGCAAGGUUAACCGAAUAGGGGAGCCGGAGGGAAACCGAGUCUUAAUUGGGCGUUAAGUUGCAGGGUAUAGACCCGAAACCCGGUGAUCUAGCCAUGGGCAGGUUGAAGGUUGGGUAACACUAACUGGAGGACCGAACCGACUAAUGUUGAAAAAUUAGCGGAUGACCUGUGGCUGGGGGUGAAAGGCCAAUCAAACCGGGAGAUAGCUGGUUCUCCCCGAAAGCUAUUUAGGUAGCGCCUCGUGAAUUCAUCUCCGGGGGUAGAGCACUGUUUCGGCUAGGGGGCCAUCCCGGCUUACCAACCCGAUGCAAACUGCGAAUACCGGAGAAUGUUAUCACGGGAGACACACGGCGGGUGCUAACGUCCGUCGUGAAGAGGGAAACAACCCAGACCGCCAGCUAAGGUCCCAAAGUCAUGGUUAAGUGGGAAACGAUGUGGGAAGGCCCAGACAGCCAGGAUGUUGGCUUAGAAGCAGCCAUCAUUUAAAGAAAGCGUAAUAGCUCACUGGUCGAGUCGGCCUGCGCGGAAGAUGUAACGGGGCUAAACCAUGCACCGAAGCUGCGGCAGCGACACUGUGUGUUGUUGGGUAGGGGAGCGUUCUGUAAGCCUGCGAAGGUGGCCUGUGAGGGUUGCUGGAGGUAUCAGAAGUGCGAAUGCUGACAUAAGUAACGAUAAAGCGGGUGAAAAGCCCGCUCGCCGGAAGACCAAGGGUUCCUGUCCAACGUUAAUCGGGGCAGGGUGAGUCGACCCCUAAGGCGAGGCCGAAAGGCGUAGUCGAUGGGAAACGGGUUAAUAUUCCCGUACUUGGUGUUACUGCGAAGGGGGGACGGAGAAGGCUAUGUUGGCCGGGCGACGGUUGUCCCGGUUUAAGCGUGUAGGUGUGUGUUCCAGGUAAAUCCGGUUCACUUUAACACUGAGGCGUGACGACGAGGCACUACGGUGCUGAAGCAACAAAUGCCCUGCUUCCAGGAAAAGCCUCUAAGCAUCAGGUAACAUCAAAUCGUACCCCAAACCGACACAGGUGGUCAGGUAGAGAAUACCAAGGCGCUUGAGAGAACUCGGGUGAAGGAACUAGGCAAAAUGGUGCCGUAACUUCGGGAGAAGGCACGCUGACACGUAGGUGAAGUGAUUUACUCAUGGAGCUGAAGUCAGUCGAAGAUACCAGCUGGCUGCAACUGUUUAUUAAAAACACAGCACUGUGCAAACACGAAAGUGGACGUAUACGGUGUGACGCCUGCCCGGUGCCGGAAGGUUAAUUGAUGGGGUCAGCGCAAGCGAAGCUCCUGAUCGAAGCCCCGGUAAACGGCGGCCGUAACUAUAACGGUCCUAAGGUAGCGAAAUUCCUUGUCGGGUAAGUUCCGACCUGCACGAAUGGCGUAAUGAUGGCCAGGCUGUCUCCACCCGAGACUCAGUGAAAUUGAACUCGCUGUGAAGAUGCAGUGUACCCGCGGCAAGACGGAAAGACCCCGUGAACCUUUACUAUAGCUUGACACUGAACAUUGAGCCUUGAUGUGUAGGAUAGGUGGGAGGCUUUGAAGUGUGGACGCCAGUCUGCAUGGAGCCGACCUUGAAAUACCACCCUUUAAUGUUUGAUGUUCUAACGUGGACCCGUUACCCGGGUUGCGGACAGUGUCUGGUGGGUAGUUUGACUGGGGCGGUCUCCUCCUAAAGAGUAACGGAGGAGCACGAAGGUUGGCUAAUCCUGGUCGGACAUCAGGAGGUUAGUGCAAUGGCAUAAGCCAGCUUGACUGCGAGCGUGACGGCGCGAGCAGGUGCGAAAGCAGGUCAUAGUGAUCCGGUGGUUCUGAAUGGAAGGGCCAUCGCUCAACGGAUAAAAGGUACUCCGGGGAUAACAGGCUGAUACCGCCCAAGAGUUCAUAUCGACGGCGGUGUUUGGCACCUCGAUGUCGGCUCAUCACAUCCUGGGGCUGAAGUAGGUCCCAAGGGUAUGGCUGUUCGCCAUUUAAAGUGGUACGCGAGCUGGGUUUAGAACGUCGUGAGACAGUUCGGUCCCUAUCUGCCGUGGGCGCUGGAGAACUGAGGGGGGCUGCUCCUAGUACGAGAGGACCGGAGUGGACGCAUCACUGGUGUUCGGGUUGUCAUGCCAAUGGCACUGCCCGGUAGCUAAAUGCGGAAGAGAUAAGUGCUGAAAGCAUCUAAGCACGAAACUUGCCCCGAG
rnacentral:rRNA from 1 species